UCAUGUUGUGCACUCAUAAUUUUUUAAAACAAAAAAAUUUCGAUUGUGAGCGCAUAAUUUGAGAACCGCUGAAUUGUAAGUAAAAGGUAAAAAUAUAUAGUUAUACAACAAACCUUAAUCAUUGGUUUUGUUAAGUGUGAAAAGAAGAGAGAAAUAUCGUAAAUAUUGUGCUCAACGAUUGUUAAGAGAAUUGUUUGAGAACCGCUGAGAUAAACAAAUGUUGGAAAUGGAGGGACUGGAAUGCUAACCAUACCGCUGUCGCGGCCGUCUGUACUACCAGGACAAGAAUUGUAGAUGCAAAAUGUCACGCCGUGGAGCGCUUUA